UCAUGGGGAAGCCGUUAACAUGCUCCGGUUGAAAAUCACCGGCAAUUGCAGCCCUGACUCGGGCCGCGACUUCGUCGUCCGCCGGAGCCUCGUUGGACAUCCGGCACGCCUCGAGGUCCCGAGAUGGGACGCCAGGGCCCAUCUCGUCCAUCCUCAACGGUCGAGACAUCAAUGGGAGAACUCUCCGGUGAUGGACGGCCGAGAGGACGAGAGCGGCGGUCAAACCCUCCUGGCGAAGCUUCUUUAGGGCGUCGAGGAGGGGGUCGAGCCGAGAUUGAUGAGCUUGGACGACGCCGUAUGUCCAGUCCGCUGGACGCUCCAUGAUCAGACGGCCCGAGUAGGAAGGCAGGAGGUUGUCGUCGUUCCGCAGGUAAAACCACUGGGACUCCCAGCCGGCGUGGUUGGUCGAUAACCCUACCGGGAUGUACUCCCGCGGCCUGUCCGUCUUCCCCGUCUUCUGCACGAGAUUAAGG
rnacentral:lncRNA from 1 species